UACGUAGGGUGCAAGCGUUAAUCGGAAUUACUGGGCGUAAAGCGUGCGCAGGCGGUUAUGUAAGACAGGUGUGAAAUCCCCGGGCUUAACCUGGGAACUGCAUUUGUGACUGCAUAGCUAGAGUACGGUAGAGGGGGAUGGAAUUCCGCGUGUAGCAGUGAAAUGCGUAGAUAUGCGGAGGAACACCGAUGGCGAAGGCAGCCCCCUGGGUUAGCACUGACGCUCAUGCACGAAAGCGUGGGGAGCAAACAGG
rnacentral:rRNA from 1 species